rnacentral:tRNA from 1 species
GAUAAAGUGGCUGAAGUUUUAGGUAAUAAAUUGUAAAUUUAUUUAUGGUUAAUAACCCUUUAUCA